rnacentral:tRNA from 1 species
CCUUCGAUAGCUCAGCUGGAAGAGCGCAAGACUGUAAAUCUUGAUGUCGCUGGUUCGAUCCCGGCUCGAAGGA